AUUGAACGCUGGCGGCAGGCCUAACACAUGCAAGUCGAGCGAGCGGCGGACGGGUGAGUAAUGUCUGGGGACCUGCCUGAUAGAGGGGGAUAACUACUGGAAACGGUGGCUAAUACCGCAUACCAUCGGAUGUACCCAGAUGGGAUUAGCUAGUAGGUGGGGUAAAGGCUCACCUAGGCGACGAUCACUCGCUGGUCUGAGAGGAUGACCAGCCGAACUGGGAGUGAGACACGGCCCAGACUCCUACGGGAGGCAGCAGGGGGGAAUAUUGCACAAUGGGCGCAAGCCUGAUGCAGCCAUGCCGCGUGUAUGAAGAAGGCCUUAGGGUUGUAAAGUACUUUCAGCGGGGAGGCGUAACCCGCAGAAGAAGCACCGGCUAACUCCGUGCCAGCGGCCGCGGUAAUAC
rnacentral:rRNA from 1 species